GGGGAAAGGGCUGGAUGACAUUGAGGUCAAUCCUGAAGAUGAAGUAGAAAUGAGUGAUGAUGAUUCCAGCGAAGAAACCAUUGCUGACCUACAUCAAUGCAAAGAGACUUCUAGGGACCAGACACUUCUGAGGCAAACACCAGAGUCAACCACCCUGGACAACAUGGAGGGCACUUCUGAGUCAACCACCCUGGACAACAUGGAGGGCACUUCUGAGUCAACCACCCUGGACAACAUGGAGGGCACUCCUGAGUCAACCACCUUGGAUAACGUAUUUAAAUACAGUUGUAUUUUGUUUCCAUUUAUGAAAGCUGUGAAGGUGAGAAGCAAGUGGACAGGUGAUGAAGUGAAAGCUGUUGAGCGGCAUUUGCUUAAUUUCAUAACAAGCUGCAGAAUACCAGGUAAAAAGGACUGUGACUCCUGCCUCCAAGCAGAGCCAGUAGCUCUGAAAGACAGAGACUGGGUUGCUAUCAAAUACUACAUCCACAACAGAAAUGUAGCAUUAAAAGGAAGAUGAAUAGAUAGAACUAGAGCAUGCCAACUGUAGCUCAGGUACCAUUCAAUUCCAAUUUCAAUCAGCUUCUCCUCAGAUAGUGUUAAUAUCUGUGGGUUUCAUGUUCAUAUUAUUUUAUUUUCCUUAAAUGAUUUAUAGUGUUGGUUCUUGUACAAACAUGCCACAUAGGCUCGACUGUAGAUCCCACAUGUUUGUAUGUUUAUGUAUAAUUGAGGGCUAUUAAUGAGCAUAUGUUUGCCACUUAUGGUCAAAUUUUUUUGGGAUAACAGUUGAUGAUAUAGGUUAAUACUCUGCUCUCAUUGACAGGGAAAAGAGAUAAACAGUACUUAAAGGGAUUGUUAUUGUUCCUAAGUUUUCAGAAGCACUUUGUUCUUAACCACAAGUUGUUGAAUGUGGCAAGGUGUUUAAAUUACUGUUAAACUAUUACCAUUUCAAUGGGUGCUUGUAACAGGCCUCGUGUAUGGUAACUUGCACUAUGUAACUAUGAUUUAAAUCCCUACGUUAUUUAGACAGGUUAGCUGAAUGUACACUGUCAUGUUUCAUAGAAGCUGGAUGCUUUAAUAGAGAGUUUCUCAUUCAUUUCAAACAUGCCAUUUCUACUGCCUUGUGCAUAGCAGGGAAGGAGGCAAAGUGUAGGUGGUCUAUUCUGGAUGUUCAAUUGAUUUGUUAAUUUGCAUAUUUUCGCUGGCACUCAAUAAAAGUAAGGCAUAAAGUGUU